UCAUGUGCGGCUGAUGACAGUGUUCCAGCUGAGGCUCUGUGAUUGCUCAGUCUCAAAGUAAACGCUCUGACGCACUGUAG
ensembl:snoRNA SNORD105B small nucleolar RNA, C/D box 105B